ensembl:lncRNA
ACAAUGUACAUGAGGGUAGGAAAGAAAUCUGGCUUAGGUUUGGUAAUAGAUUUGAUUCUUUGGUUCUUUCUCAAGUGUUUCUUCUGGACAGUUAGCAUUUAUAAUUUUUUAUUAGAAAGCUUUAGGGCUAUAUAAAAGUUUUAAAUUCUGGAGGAGUGGAAGAUUAGACUUCUGCAUAGGGAGUUAAAAUUUUACUCUUUCUGUACAGAUAGACAAUCUUAUAAUUAGGGAGGUCUAGGUCUCUCCUUGUCCACUUCCUCAUGUUUUCAGAAUGUGCUGGCUGGUUUUAUGUCAGCUUGACACAAGCUCGGGCCACUGGAGAGGAGGGAACCUCAAUUGGAGACAUGUCUCAUGUUGUGGUGACUGCCCCUCCCCCCAUCAAAUCAUUUUUGUUGCUACUUCCUGAAUUUUGUUACUGUUAUGAAUCGUAAUGUAAAUUUCUGAUAAGCAACACCUGAAGGGAUUGUGAUCCACAGGUGGAGAACAGCUGCUGUAUGGGGCAUUUUCUUUCUUUUUUUUUUUUUCUCUUUUCUUUUUUUUUCGGAGCUGGGGACCGAACCCAGGGCCUUGCGCUUGCUAGGCAAGCACUCUACCACUGAGCUAAAUCCCCAACCCCUGGGCAUUUUCUUACUUAGUGAUUGAUGUGGGCCUACCCCACCAUGGAUGGUGCCAUCCCUGGCUGGUGGUCUUGGGUUCCAUUAGAAAGCCGACAGCGGGGGCUGGAGAGAUGGCUCAGUGGUUAAGAGCACUGACUACUCUUUCAAAGGUCCUGAGUUCAAAUCCCAGCAACCACAUGGUGGCUCACAACCAACUGUAAUGGAAUCUGAUGCUCUCUUCUGGGGUGUGUCUGAAGACAGCUACAGUGUACUCAUAAAUAAUAAAUAAAUUAAUUAAAAAAAAAAAGCAAGCAGACAGCGCAAGCAAUGGAGCAAGCCAGUAAGCAGCACCCAUUCACUGCCAUGCAUCAGCUCCUGCUUCCAGGAUCCUGUGAGUUCCUGUCCUGACUUCCUUUAAUGAUGGACAGCAUGAGGAAGUGUAAGCCAAAUAAAUAAACCCUUCCCUCCCCAACUUGCUUUGGUCAUGGUGUUUCAUUACAGCAACAGAAACAGAGAAGGAGAAUUUUAUGUUUUUCCAAAGGACAUAGGCUUUAUAUCUUUAUAAAAUAUUCCAGGAAGGAGGAAAAAAAUAAAUUACCCAAUACUGUUUCUUUUUCUUGAGAAACAUAACAGCUUUGACAGCCCGUCCCAUUCCAAGGACAAGCUAAACAGAAUAAAGCAAGACUUCCCCCACAACUUUCCAAAGCACAGGUCAACUGUUUACACGAGUCUGUAUGAAAACGAAACAAAACAACAACCAGUGAAAAUCCAGCAGCUUGUUAAAGAAAGAGAGACUUGAGAAUGAGUCCUUUUCAAGUGGGGUGUGCUGGUGCACCGCAGACUUGGCAGCUUAAGGCAGGAGGAUUGCAGGUUCCAGGCCAGGCAGGGCUACAGAGUGAGACCCUGUCUCUAAAAACAUAAUAAACCUUUUUCAUAAGAAAAUGAACUAUUCGAGAUAAAUUGGAUUAACAGGUUUGUGUGCAAUUCUAAGACAAUAAAAAGCACCUGGGGAGGGGGAAACACAUGAAAGAUAACCAUAUUCAUUAUCGACAUGAACAUAUAAAUUAAUUAUAAUACAAGUAUCUAUAUGACAUUUAUGACAAAAUUAUGAGAAUGUGAGGAAAUCCCUCUCAUUCAUAAAUGUUAGGAAAGCAAUUUAGAAUAUCUAAUAAAGGUGUAUAUAUUCUAAAAUUAAAAAAUUAUAUACUCAGGUCUAUUUUGUAGUGAGGAUGUGUACAGCAUUGCCAUUACUUGACAGAUAAAGUAAGCAAGUCCUAGUGUCUUUCCGUAGUAAACGAAUUAAUUCAUGCACACCACUUAGAAUAGUGUAUGGGGUAUAAGUUAAGCAUCAUAUAACAUCAUAUAACACCUCAUCACCGUCGAUCAGUCGUAGGAGAGAUUCCACCAAUAUCAUCUAUACCGGGAAGCAAUGUAUUUGAGAUGCUCUAACACACAUGUUAUCUGGACAGGUUCAUUGAAAGGUUAACUAACUGCCAACAUUUGAUCAGUUUGGAGGCUCCUCUCCCUCCUGGCACUAGGGAGGAUCAUGUUUUCAGAAAGACGACGCGAUAUUUCAGUCAGGUAGAGAAAUAUUGGUGGGACCCGGGUUGGUGUUUGCCGGGUGCUACCAUUGGGUUUUGGUGAUUGUCUGUCGGGCUCCAGGUAUUCAGUCCUUUCUGGACCGUAGGUGUAGGGAAUGAGGAACGAAGGAACCAUAGUCACCAGGGAGGCCGGCUGGUGAGGCUCCUCUUAGAAAGCUGCCCGGGGCAGGAGGGCUGCAGCUACCGCGACCACAAACCAUCCCACCUAGCUGCUUAGGGGAUGUUGGAAAGUUAUUUGCCAAAGAGUGGGAGCAGGUGGCUCCCAGAGGCGAGCGCACUCCGGCACCUCGCCGAGGCGCUCGGGGCAGCUGACUGCGGGCAGGACGCACGCCUAGAACUCCAAGUGAGAACCUCAAGCCCCAGGAAUACUUAGCCAAAGCUUGCCCGUGGAUGAUCGCCUCGGUGCAGAGCCUGCAAGCCUUCCCGGGAGGAGGAGCUUUCAAGUCUAGAACGUCAGUGGUCUGGCCACGCUGGCUAAGAGAGGGGCGGGAACCUGCCCUAAAGGUUGAGAACUCGUGACCACCGAAGCUAAAUUCGUCUGGCGUGUGCUCGGUGUUUCAGGAGGAUUCCGGGAGCGAUCAGCGGACAACAGAAGUGAAGCAAAGAACCUUGAAGGGUCUGAGAUCUCCUCCAGCAAAACGCAUCCAAGGGCCUCAAAUCCAGUACUUUACUUGCCCACUACCCUCCGGCAAACUCGGUGCAAAAACCACAGCUUCCUGUUAAGGGUCUCGGGUGCAGCUUCCCGGCGGCCUCUAACACCCGGAGCGCGAGAAUCCAGCGCUCCCGGAGCGGCAGGCGCCGGCCCGCGCGGACUC